rnacentral:rRNA from 1 species
UACGAAGGGGGCUAGCGUUGCUCGGAAUCACUGGGCGUAAAGCGCACGUAGGCGGAUUUCUAAGUCAGGGGUGAAAUCCUGGAGCUCAACUCCAGAACUGCCUUUGAUACUGGGAAUCUCGAGUCCGGGAGAGGUGAGUGGAACUGCGAGUGUAGAGGUGAAAUUCGUAGAUAUUCGCAAGAACACCAGUGGCGAAGGCGGCUCACUGGCCCGGUACUGACGCUGAGGUGCGGAAAGCGUGGGGAGCAAAGCAGGG